GUCGAGAAUUUUUCACAAUGGGCGAAAGCCUGAUGGAGCGACGCCGCGUGGGGGAUGAAUGGCUUCGGCCCGUAAACCCCUGUCAUUUGCGAUCAACCCUCACGGCCUAAUACGUCGUGAGCUGAUGGUAGCGAAAGAGGAAGGGACGGCUAACUCUGUGCCAGCAGCCGCGGUAAUACAGAGGUCCCAAGCGUUGUUCGGAUUCACUGGGCGUAAAGGGUGCGUAGGCGGUCGGAUAAGUCUGACGUGAAAUCUCCAAGCUCAACUUGGAAAUGGCGUCGGAUACUAUUCGGCUCGAGGAAUGGAGGGGAGACUGGAAUACUUGGUGUAGCAGUGAAAUGCGUAGAUAUCAAGUGGAACACCAGUGGCGAAGGCGAGUCUCUGGACAUUUCCUGACGCUGAGGCACGAAAGCCAGGGGAGCAAACGGGAUUAGAUACCCCUGUAGUCC
rnacentral:rRNA from 1 species